GGCUAACGGCCACCGGGGGCGACCCCAGGGAAAGUGCCACAGAAAACACACGGCCGAUGGCCCCUCGGGGCACAGGCAAAGGUGAAAAGGUGCGGCAAGAGCGCACCGCGACGGCGGCGACGUCGUCGGCAGGGUAAACCCCACCGCCUGCAAGACCAAGCAGCCGGUCGGCUUGGCCGCACUUGGCCCGAGUGCGAGCGGCGUUCGCGUCGCUCGGCCGGCGGGUAGGUCGCGUCCCGCUUCAAGCGGGAGAGCCGGUUGGCAACAGCCGGUCCAGAUAAAUGAUCGCCGCCCGCCCUCGCGGCGGGAACAGAACUCGGCUUACAGACCCACUCUUCGG
rnacentral:RNase_P_RNA from 1 species